GGGGGUAUAGCUCAUUGGUAGAGCAUUCGACUUCAGAUCGAAAUGUCCCCGUUUCAACCCCGGAUGCCUCCU
rfam:Daphnia pulex DAPPTscaffold_203_Cont7078, whole genome shotgun sequence.